rnacentral:rRNA from 1 species
CGCCCUUAGAGUUUGAUCCUGGCUCAGAUUGAACGCUGGCGGCAGGCCUAACACAUGCAAGUCGAACGGUAAAGCAGCUUGCUGCUUACGAGUGGCGGACGGGUGAGUAAUGUCUGGGAAGCUGCCUGAUGGAGGGGGAUAACUACUGGAAACGGUAGCUAAUACCGCAUAAUGUCGCAAGACCAAAGAGGUUCGUCUUGCCAUCGGAUGUGCCCAGAUGGGAUUAGCUUGUUGGUGGGGUAACGGCUCACCAAGGCGACGAUCCCUAGCUGGUCUGAGAGGAUGACCAGCCACACUGGAACUGAGACACGGUCCAGACUCCUACGGGAGGCAGCAGUGGGGAAUAUUGCACAAUGGGCGCAAGCCUGAUGCAGCCAUGCCGCGUGUAUGAAGAGGGCCUUCGGGUUGUAAAGUACUUUCAGCGGGGAGGAAGGGAGUAAAGUAAUCUUUGCUCUUGACGUUACCCGCAGAAGAAGCACUGGCUAACUCCGUGCCAGCAGCCGCGGUAAUACGGAGGGUGCAAGCGUUAAUCGGAAUUACUGGGCGUAAAGCGCACGCAGGCGGUUUGUUAAGUCAGAUGUGAAAUCCCCGGGCUCAACCUGGGAACUGCAUCUGAUACUGGCAAGCUUGAGUCUCGUAGAGGGGGGUAGAAUUCCAGGUAUAGCGGUGAAAUGCGUAGAGAUCUGGAGGAAUACCGGUGGCGAAGGCGGCCCCCUGGACGAGACUGACGCUCAGGUGCGAAAGCGUGGGGAGCAAACAGGAUUAGAUACCCUGGUAGUCCACGCCGUAAACGAUGUCGACUUGGAGGUUGUGCCCUUGAGGCGUG